UACGAAGGGGGCUAGCGUUGCUCGGAAUCACUGGGCGUAAAGGGUGCGUAGGCGGGUCUUUAAGUCAGGGGUGAAAUCCUGGAGCUCAACUCCAGAACUGCCUUUGAUACUGAGGAUCUUGAGUACGGGAGAGGUGAGUGGAACUGCGAGUGUAGAGGUGAAAUUCGUAGAUAUUCGGAAGAACACCAGUGGCGAAGGCGGCUCACUGGCCCGUUACCGACGCUCAGGCGCGAUAGCGUGGGGAGCAAACAGG
rnacentral:rRNA from 1 species